rnacentral:rRNA from 1 species
AACGAACGCUGGCGGCAGGCCUCAAACAUGCAAGUCUAGGGGGUGUAGCAAUACAUCACCGGCGGACGGGUGCGUAACGCGUGGGAAUAUACCUAUCGAUUCGGAACAACUGAGGGAAACUUCAGCUAAUACCGAAUACGUCCUAACGGAGAAAGAUUUAUCGUCGAUAGAUUAGCCCGCGUUCGAUUAGCGAGUUGGUGGGGUAACGGCCCACCAAGGCGACGAUCGAUAGCUGUUCUGAGAGGAAGAUCAGCCACACUGGGACUGAGACACGGCCCAGACUCCUACGGGAGGCAGCAGUUGGGAAUCUUGGACAAUGGGGGGAAACCCUGAUCCAGCCAUGCCGCGUGAGUGAUGAAGGCCUUCGGGUUGGUAAAACUCUUUCGUCGCACGACGAUAAUGACGGUAGUGCGAGAAGAAGCUCCGGCUAACUUCGUGCCAGCAGCCGCGGUAAU